rnacentral:tRNA from 1 species
CGGGGUGUAGCGCAGCCUGGUAGCGCACUUGCAUGGGGUGCAAGGGGUAGCGAGUUCGAAUCCCGCCACCCCGA